GCCCGGAAGAGGAAUAAUUGAGGGCCUUAGAGUAGUGGGAAUGGGAACAUGGAGUGAAGCCUAAUUUACUCAGUUUUCUCCUCUAAUAUUGAAGGUGAGAAUUUAGUUUGGUGUUUCCCAAUGCCACCCAUUCCUAUUGUUCUAAAUCACUCAUUCCUCUCCCCCUUUUGGCU
rnacentral:pre_miRNA from 1 species